rnacentral:misc_RNA from 1 species
GAUGUCGGUUGCACGGAGUUUUGAUUUGUGGCAGAAGGAUGCUUUCUUUUCCGCCGCCGAGGAGGUGCAAGAAUCCGCUGACAUAUUGGAAUCCACAUAUAGGGCAUGGUUGAGAGAGAGAAGAGCAAGAUUAAUGGUUGAAAAUUUGGAUGAAUUCACCAGGGAGUUGCGAACUGCUCUGGGAACGGCCAAAUGGCAGUUGGAAGAGUUUGAGAAGGCUGUAAGGUUGAGCUAUAGAAAACAUGGGGAUGUUACUAAGCUGGAAAGACAUAGACAGUUUAUUGAUGCCAUUGAAAACCAGAUAUUAUGCGUC